AGGACGAACGCUGGCGGCGUGCUUAACACAUGCAAGUCGAGCGAGGCGCCUCCUUCGGGAGGAUGCCCUAGCGGCGAACGGGUGAGUAACACGUGGGCAACCUGCCCCUAGCACUGGGAUAACCCCGGGAAACCGGGGCUAAUACCGGAUACGACUUCGGAAGGCAUCUUCUGAAGUGGAAAAGGUUACUGGCUAGGGAUGGGCCCGCGGCCUAUCAGCUUGUUGGUGGGGUAAUGGCCCACCAAGGCGACGACGGGUA
rnacentral:rRNA from 1 species